rnacentral:rRNA from 1 species
GUCGACGCUGGCGGCGUGCCUAAUACAUGCAAUCUCGAGCGGACUUUAAAGCUUGCUUUUAAAGUUAGCGGCGGACGGGUGAGUAACACGUGGGCAACCUGCCUGUAAGACUGGGAUAACUUCGGGAAACCGGAGCUAAUACCGGAUAAUCCUUUUCCUCUCAUGAGGAAAAGCUGAAAGACGGUUUACGCUGUCACUUACAGAUGGGCCCGCGGCGCAUUAGCUAGUUGGUGAGGUAACGGCUCACCAAGGCGACGAUGCGUAGCCGACCUGAGAGGGUGAUCGGCCACACUGGGACUGAGACACGGCCCAGACUCCUACGGGAGGCAGCAGUAGGGAAUCUUCCGCAAUGGACGAAAGUCUGACGGAGCAACGCCGCGUGAGUGAUGAAGGUUUUCGGAUCGUAAAACUCUGUUGUUAGGGAAGAACAAGUACAAGAGUAACUGCUUGUACCUUGACGGUACCUAACCAGAAAGCCACGGCUAACUACGUGCCAGCAGCCGCGGUAAUACGUAGGUGGCAAGCCGUUGUCCCGGAAUUUUGGGGCGUAAGCGCGCGCAGGCGGUCCUUUUAGUCUGAUGUGGAAAGCCCACGGCUCAACGGUGGAGGGUCAUUGGAAACUGGGGGACUUGAGUCAGAAAAAAAAAGUGUAAUUCCCCGUGUACCGGUGAAAUGCCUAAGAUUGGGGAGACCCAAGUGCGAAGGCACUCUUGGGUCGGAACUGACCUGAAGGCCGAAAGCUGGGGAGCAACGGAUAAAAACCCUGGUACCCCCCCAAACAUGGAGCAAGG